ensembl:lncRNA
GGGGCUUCGGGGGCAUAUCUGUUUGGAUUUUAGGUAGUCAGUCUCUAUUGCUCAUAGAGCGAAACCUUGGGGUACCUUUACAGUUGGAUCACAGAUUGUCCGGAAUUGAAACAAUUCUUUCUUUAAAUAACGAAACCUCCCCUCCCCCCCAAAAAAAGCCCAUAUAUUCUUGCUUGCUAUGCGCAUUUCCUGGGGGCUGAGGGUGGAGAAGUGUCACCAGAUUGAAAACAUUUCUUAUGGUGAACAACACUGAGGAGAAAGCAGCCUGGAGGAGCACAUGAAAACAUUGCACUGCAUUGAAACACUGCACUGAAAAAUAGCUCCGCGCAGCUUCUCUUAGAAAAUCUGAUUCACUCUUUGGAUGUUUUCCUCUGGCUCAGCAUCUCCUCACAUCUGGCAGGUUCUCUCACCCAGCCUUCUCCCCAGGACCCUUCUGCUUUUGUGAAAUGGGGCCAUAAAAACCUCAGCAACCCCUCCACCCUCUCCAUUUUGAGCCACUUUAGGAUUGCCUGGUGCCACACAGCUGGCCAAUGACAGACUGCACGGCUGAGAGCGGAUGUCCUCUCCUCUCUGCACAUCUGGAAGCUCCUCUUCUUUGUGCCAUCAUGAGACAGAUACUCAUCGCUACCCAGGCCCAUGGGCUGAGAAGAAUGAGAUGAAAAUGCAAUCUGCCAGCACCAACAGGACUGACAGGUUAAGCCAAUGGAGAAAUGUGAAGAGUGAUGGCAGCAGUCACGCCAAGUGGGCCAAAAGCCAAUGAAUGUGUUGAGGAGUGGGUGUUUCCCAGCAGCUGCCUCCCUUCACGCAGGCAAGAAAAUUGUUUGAAUUACCUGCAUCUUCCUCAGGCAGCUAAAAAGUGCCCUUAUGUUUGCUGGAGAUUUAUCUACCUAUUUAUUACUACCAGUUAUACAAAUCAUUCUUCCAUUAACAAGAGCCCAUGCUUAUUUCUAGGCCAUUUUUCACCAUAUUGAAAUUGACAAGCCAGCACCAACAGCAAGGAUUACAGUGGGCUGCAUGUGUGCAAAUCAAGUAAAAAAGAGGGGCAGGUUUUCUCCUUCCUACUGGCAGCCUCCUUAAAUUCCUCUUUCCCUCUCGUCUGGGAAAAAAGCUAUGACUGUGCAUCCCCAACACUGUUCCAGCAGAACAUCCCUGGAAUUGGCUCUGGACUAUUCUCUCUGCUGCAGGCAGAGUCGAGUUAACUGGUAGAAAAGAAGACUUAAAUCGUUGAGCUCUUGCUAUGCACGAUUUGUGUAUCAUAAAGAGAUCUACAGUCUUCAGGGCCAUCACAAAGUUCCAAGACAUCUUCUGCACCUUCUCUUGGCAUCAGCCAGCAGAGGCAUGCACUUGUCCAGGAGGAAGAAGACAACACUGAAUAAGGUCCCGCUCUGCAAAUGAAGGUCUUGCUGUCUCUGACGGUGUUUCUUCACUCCACUGUCCAGUUAACAUCUCAUCCAUACAGAGAAGCAGCUUUGCUGUCUUCUUGGAGUGCUUCCCAGCACGUUGGCUGCAAUUCUCUGCUCUGUUUUCAGUCCCUUGUUUUGAACGAUGAUGUGCCCCCCGGUCUUCAUCAGAUAUAACUUGUCGCCCUAUCUGAUGGUGGUCUGAACAACAUGAUGCUUUCUCUCACUGGAGUUAAAAGACUUUAACUUGGAUCAAUUCCACUCACUGUCCCAUGACCGAUACAAACAGGGAAUGCAUUUCCUUUCCUGAUUUGUUAGGCUCCUGCUGUAUGUCCAGCUCAUUCACCCUCCUGACAUUUAAUUGAGUUUCCUCAUUGCACGCCACAAAUGACAGAAGGAAUGCAUCCAAAAAUACAUCUACUGAUCCCGAGGUUUCAGUGUGCACAGAAGCAAGGAGAAGGCGUUUCUCCUUCCCUAGCUUCUGUUGUGCAAGCAGGUGAAGAAAGUACACGCAGCACGAUUCUGAUAUCCCCACUGCUGUCAUGCUGGAAGGAAGUAAUGGAUUAAAAGUGUUCUUGUUUCUUUGUUUUCGGUUCUUUGCUCCCUCACCAGACUCACCUGCAGCUGGCAAUGAGCUGAAAGCAGACCUGCUUGGGCAACCUCAACGAGAUUUGCCCUGCAAACAAGUCUCAAGACCAAUUCCCACCUCUUUCACUAAGGCCCUUCAUCUCUCAGAACCCGACAGUAUUUCCCAGACAGUAAAUAAAGAGAUAAGCUGACCCCCUGUUGAAAGCAACCCCUUCUGCAUCCUAUUAAAACCUGUCAGCACCGUGCAGCCCUCCCUGCCAGGGCACUGGGAUGAGGGCAAAGUGAAGCUGGGACCGUGGAGAGCACUGGGGAGUAAAGGCACAGCACUCAGUACUGAUGCAAUGAAAUCUCCAGGAAGGCACAACCACCAUGUGAAAAGCAGAACAAGCCAAGACCUUGGCUUAGAAAGCUUUCUGCAGGAAUUCUCCCAUUGUAACGAGCCUUUGACCUAACCUCCAUUUCUUCUAAUACUGCCUGACAUCUUCCCAUCAUAUGUUAACAGUGUGUGUCUUCAGUGAAAGGCAAACUGACUCUGAUGCUCUGGGCCUAAAGAAAAGCAACGUGGA